rnacentral:rRNA from 1 species
UACGUAGGGGGGCUAGCGUUGUCCGGAAUCAUUGGGCGUAAAGAGCGUGUAGGCGGUCCGGUAAGUCCGCUGUGAAAGUCGGGGGGCUCAACCCUCGAAUGCCGGUGGAUACUGUCGGGCUAGAGUCCGGAAGAGGCGAGUGGAAUUCCUAGUGUAGAGGUGAAAUUCGUAGAUAUUUAGGAAGAACACCAGUGGGCGAAGGCGGCUCACUGGCUCGGUA